AUGCAAUAUAGGUUUGUAGCUAAUGGUUAUACUCAAAAAGAGGGCAUCGAUUUUGAUGAAACGUUAUCUAUGGUUGUAAACCUUGUCACCGCUCGUUGUGUUAUUCAUCUUGCUAUAAAUAGUGCUUUUUACAUCGCUGAUGAUGAUGAAGAAGAAGUUUAUAUGGCCUUCCAUCCCGACUAUUUUUCCAAGGAUGAGAAAAAAAAGGUAAAUUCUUGAAUUACUUCACGAGUAUGGCAUGAUAGAGUGUAAACAUGUUAACACUCAUCUUGAUUCAUUUACUGUUGUGAGUAAUGAAGGUGUUGAUGAGAAGGAUAGUUUGAUGAGUAAUUUUAUUGGAUACCAGAAAUUGAUAUAAAAACUUAUUUAUAUUACUAUUACUUGUCCACAUAUUUCCUUUGUUAUACAAACUUUGAGACAAUUCAUGCAUACAUCUCAUAAAAUGUUAUGUUAUGUUAUGCUUGAUAUAAGAGUGUUAAGAUAUCUAAAGUUUAGCCUUGGUAAGGGUAUUUAUGUAAUUAAGUCUUUUGACCAAAAAUUAUCAACCUUUGUUGAUGAUGAUUGGUAGAAAUAUGUUAUUACAAAAAAAAAAAAAAUUAACGAGA